GCCUAUAGUCAUGCUGGACUGAAUGCCCCCAAAAAAUCUAAACUUGGAAGCUAAGCAAUCCCAGGCCUAGAUAGUAUUUGGAGGACAGACCAGCUUUGAAUCCCAAGGCAUACAGGCA
ensembl:rRNA 5S_rRNA 5S ribosomal RNA